ACAGGUGGAACCGAGGGCAGA
rnacentral:miRNA from 1 species